rnacentral:rRNA from 1 species
GAUGAACGCUGGCGGCGUGCCUAAUACAUGCGAGUCGAGCGAACAGACGAGGAGCUUGCUCCUCUGACGUUAGCGGCGGACGGGUGAGUAACACGUGGAUAACCUACCUAUAAGACUGGGAUAACUUCGGGAAACCGGAGCUAAUACCGGAUAAUAUAUUGAACCGCAUGGUUCAAUAGUGAAAGACGGUUUUGCUGUCACUUAUAGGUGGAUCCGCGCCGCAUUAGCUAGUUGGUAAGGUAACGGCUUACCAAGGCAACGAUGCGUAGCCGACCUGAGAGGGUGAUCGGCCACACUGGAACUGAGACACGGUCCAGACUCCUACGGGAGGCAGCAGUAGGGAAUCUUCCGCAAUGGGCGAAAGCCUGACGGAGCAACGCCGCGUGAGUGAUGAAGGUCUUCGGAUCGUAAAACUCUGUUAUUAGGGAAGAACAAAUGUGUAAGUAACUAUGCACGUCUUGACGGUACCUAAUCAGAAAGCCACGGCUAACUACGUG